GGGAUAUUGCACAAUGGGCGCAAGCCUGAUGCAGCGACGCCGCGUGGAGGAUGAAGUAUUUCGGUAUGUAAACUCCUUUCGGCAGGGAAGAAAACGACGGUACCUGCAGAAGAAGCCCCGGCUAACUACGUGCCAGCAGCCGCGGUAAUACGUAGGGGGCAAGCGUUAUCCGGAUUCACUGGGUGUAAAGGGAGCGUAGACGGACUGUCAAGCCAGAUGUGAAAAUCCGGGGCUCAACCCCGGACCUGCAUUUGGAACUGAUGGACUGGAGUACCGGGUGGGCAGGCGGAAUUCCUGGUGUAGCGGUGAAAUGCGUAGAUAGCAGGAGGAACACCGGUGGCGAAGGCGGCCUGCUGGACGGAUACUGACGUUGAGGCUCGAAAGCGUGGGGAGCAAACA
rnacentral:rRNA from 1 species